UCAGUUCCGACCUCGCCCCAACGGUCCCUGAGGCCCUCGGAACUGUCCUCGGCGCCGCAGAGACGGAAAAUCCAGUCAGGGCAGCCCGCGGGAGGCCGAGGCCAUGGUGGGCCCGCAGGAGGCUCAGGGUCCCGCCAGUCCUCCUGAGCGGGGGCUGCCCCGGGGGGGCUGCCCGGGGGUCCCCGCUCCCGCCCUGGUGGCUGAGGUGCUUGGUGAGGGGCUCGGUGAGGCUUGGCAGUGCCAUUGCCACCAGGCCGCGGGACUGGUGAGGAGGAUGUUGUUACGGGUCUCUGCUCCUUUUUGUUACAGAGAUGGAAAGCGCACAGGUUCCUUUGGAAUUUGUCCCCGCCUGGACGGUUUCCCCAUCAAAGGCACGAGAACAGAGCCUGCAGUCACUGUGUAUCUGCUGAUAUCCUUGAGGAACCCUUGGUUCUGGCUUGAACUCAAAUCUGGCACUGACCUACAGAAUACAUGUUUGUUCCUUACAAAGGUGCCUGAAGGAAUGUUUUUCAACAGCAUGCAAAAUCAAUGAAAAAAUUAAAAAAAAAAUCAAUGUACUUUAUAAGGAGGUGAUUUGAUUUGCAAAGCUGCCAGGCAACACUACGCCUGAUUAAAAUUUUUUAAGGUUUAAUGGUUCCCAGUGCCACAUACUUAGCAUCACGUUUUGCACCUCUGACAUCAGCGCAUAUGUUUGCUCUAACUUUUGUAGGGGCAAGAUCUGAUCUGGUGUAUUUUCCUCAUAGUUUUAGUUAAAAACAAUCUAGGACUAGGUGUUCAGCAUCAGUAAUUUGGCAUUCCUCCUCUGAUUUCUCUGGACGUGCUGAUCAACCAGUCCCAAAUCUUAAACCCGGAGUAUAAUGCACUGGUCUCAAGUCUUCCUAAUAUGGAUGGCAGGAGCUGUUCAUAGGGAAAAACAGGCAUCACUAAAUCAUCACAAUAAUCACAAAAUCAGAAUAAUAAUAAUAGUCACAAAUGCUUAAAUAGAAUUCUUAAAAGUAAACAUGAAAUAUCUGCAGUCUUAUAAAGACCUCAUUCUCACUGUUUCCUCUAACUUUUCAGCGCACUCUGAAAUGCUGAUAUUCUCAUUAUCCAGGAGGUUUCAAUUUUUUGCCUUCUACAAAGCGUGCUAACAUUGGAGAUUUGCCAAUGACUUAAAUGACCGAAAGCAGAUGACCUAGAUUUAGGGGAAAAAAAGUUUAAAGGUUAAAAAACAAGGGUUUUUUUUUUCCUGGAAAAUACUUUGGGGAGUAAUCAUUGGCCACAACACCUGCUGUAGCGGAGAGUUGCUACAAUCAGUUGGGUUCUGUUUCAAUGAGAGUCAAAGGUGCUUUGUAACUGAAACAUGAAUGUCCAACUUCAACUGCUUGUGUCACAAAUGUACUUAUAUGAAUGUCACAUGAGAACAGUUGUUAAUAAAAAUGAUACCAUUGUCGCUGUCGUCAUUAAACAGUGGAACUGAGCUUCCAGGGAAAAUCCUAGUACUGUUUAAGUCAAUCACAAAGGUCAACAGGAGUCUUUGGGAUUUCACAUUACACUGGAGCAGGCUCUAAUUUGUUUCAUGGAGAAGCGUUCUGACGUUAUCCAUGAGGAACAUGCCAGAGGAGAGUGGAACCCUUUAAACUGGAAAGGGAGAAUAUUCAUAUUUGAGCCAAGGAGCAACAAUAGAAAAAUAAUGCCUAACGCUUUGCAAAGGGUUCCCCAUCCCGCCAGAUGUGCUACAGAGGAUGUUCUUUGCUGUAAUAGCAGCCUUGCUCGAUAGCAGCAGGCCUGAGAAAAUGGGGUCAUCUGGUCUCAUACUGGCGACAAUAACAUCCAUGGGUUUCCAUCCAAGGGAGACUCUGCAACCUCUCUGGGCAGCCUGUUCCAGUGCUCCAUCACCCUUAAGCUUUCACACAUGUAAUCUCCCACGCCAGAACGCAGAAGAAAGGUUUCACCGCUAUCCAGCCACAUAAGCUUUUUACACA